UGGGACUAUUUGAGCGGCACCAAGAAUACGUGAGAAAACACAAACAAUGACUUCAUCACAGGGACUUCAGUCAUGAGUCUAGCGUAGCACGUGGUUACAAGAGACGACCCUCAAGUUUUUGAUGAAGUGUUCCUGAACUACUUUUAAAUCGAGAGUGGGGAUGUAGAGCGUAAAGCAGGGCACAAAUGCCGCCGUGUACUAUGACAGCAAUGUCAAGCCUGUGACAGAAGGUGCUGGGAGACGCAAGCGCAGAGUGACACAAGGGUACAUUCCAUCUGUUUUUACACUGCAGGGGCAAACAUGAAUUCGUGACCCUUCAAAAACAUCACUGAUCACGACCACUUUGAUAAGGGAAACCUAUUGCCAAAUAAUCACUUCAUGGAACUCAAAAAAGUCACCCUCUCUGCUAACAGAUUAAAGGCCUAAUUGUGGUAACUGAUGAUAUUCAGGGGCAAAUGUCUGCCCACGAAAGUGUGUAUCCCUUAUCAGCUGCAAGAUCUGCGCGCCAGUUUUUGUAUCAAAUUCACGACUAUUAUUAUUAUCAUUAUUUUAUUAUUAGCAUCGAAUCACAGGCUGGAUGCUCGUUUAAUCAGGAAACUCUUGAAAGGAAUACUGGCAUAGGUAUUUACAAAUAUUGUGUCUUGACUUUAGUUUAUAUUUUUUGUUUGCAGAAGGAAGAAUAAAUGUUGUUCUUGUUCCUUGAUAGCCUCUCUGCUCAGCGUGUGAUGGUCAAAUGACUAUUUUGUUACUUGGUGAUAUUGGCCCCGCAUGUAAAAUCUCCAUAAUGGUUGAAAUACAUCAGGCUUUCAAUUGCUUACUUCAAGCCAUAAACUGUUAUUAAUAGUGAAUAUUAAAUCAACAUAGAUUACUAUUUGUAUUUUGUGAGGCUCGUGCUGAAAAGACUGUUGUACAAUAAAAGCGUGCGAUAGGGCAUGGUGGAACAUAAAUAGCAACGUGAUGUUAACGUGGCGAGUAUGUGAAUAUACAGCAGAACUUUUUUAGCUUUGCUGUGAACACAUGGACACCCUUAAUGACAGAGACUAGGCAGGAAGCUUGGACUUGUAGAAAGGCUGAACUUCGGGGCGCAACCACUAUGAGAACAGAGCUAGCUAUUGUAAAUAAGAUAACAUUCUUUCUGCAUUGAAAUAGAAAGGUCGAUUUUUAACAUCAAAUGCUGUGACACUAAACUCUAAUAAACACGACAAGAAA